GCAUUAAAAAGCGCGGGAAAGUGGUUGCCUCUCCAUCGAGCGACACGUGUCUCUAUACCGGAAGCCAGAAACUUAAGUCCGAGUGAAAUGAACCCUCAAAUCGGAGGAGGCUCUCCUUCCGGUUCCUCCGUUCGAUCGUCGAUCCCCACAUUGUCCGCACGUGCGUUUUUGUCGAAGCGGUGGCGAUCCGUCUGGACCGCCGCCCCCGGACCUCGUCUUCUCCUUCCCCUGGCGGAACUCCUCCCCGUCCGUGGACGGCGUCUUGAUCCUCAGGCGUCGCCCAAGGUGAGGAAGUUCCACAUCGACGCCGAUUUUCUCGACCGUUGCGCGCCUGAGCUCAGUCCGUGGCUUCGCUUUGCUGUCGACCGCCGUGUCGAGGACCUCUCAGUCGAUGCGACUAAGAGGUUGUGCGAGAUGGCCGGCAAUUUCGCAGUACCGCGGCUCCUUUUAUGGAUGCUCUUUGUUGGUGAACCUGCACUCAGGGCUCUUAGGUCCCUGUCCGUCUGUGACUCGGAGGUGAUGCAUGAGAUGUCGAAUGGCAGCCCUGUUCUCGAGGACCUUAGUUUGGAAGGAUGCUACGGUUUAAAGCGAACCAUCAAGCUUUGUUCGAGAACUUUGAGGGAAAUUGCGGUCAAUGGCUGCUUUCGGGAUGCACUUGAUGAGGGUUUCCCCUUGGAGAUUUCAAGUCCUCUGUUGCUGCUUGAGAGGAUUUUCUGGUAUGAUGAGGUAGCUGGUAACGGAAGUCUCGAUCCUUGAUUGAAGCAGAGUCCAACUUUUCUAUGAGAGGUGAGGAUUUUGGAAGGCCAUCUGAUUGUUUUGUUCAAAAUCGGUUCAAGUCUUACAGAGGGUAUUGCAACCUGGUUGAGGGACUGCUUCAGAAGCUGCAGAACGCGUCUAAGCUUUUGAUUGGUAGUUGGUGCCUUCAGGAAAUUCAUUCCAAACUUCAGCACAAGGAAUCUGGUUUGCAUCGUUUGCUACUCUGCCUGAUGACCACUGGUGCAAAUACACAUCGUGCCUUUAGAAUAACUACUGAAAAACCAAAGAAAAGGCAGCUGGUUUAGGGUCAUUCUUUUUCCUGCUCAGUAGUGCAUAACCAUCAUUCCAAAGAUCAUAGUAAAUUAUUAAUGAAAAGUUGCUGUGUCCUAUUUUUUAAAGACUGAAGAAGCAGUUGUUGACUAGAGUUAGUACUCAAUUUGUCAUAUAGGUGGGAACCAAAAGUGUUCUCAAAGCAUAAACUUGCUGGGUUUUUUAAACUGUAUUUGGAAGGAAGAGUAAAUUAUCUUAUUCUUUUGCCUUUCAAUUUUUGAAUGUGCUUAGGUUUUAUCACUUGCGGCAGAGGUACAAGGAUAUAUCUCAAGCUAUGCUGCAUACAUGUAUACAUGGAGGGAGGAGUUGGAGAAAGCAAAAGGUCUAGGAGGAUAGGCGGAGCUGCAUCCAAGUAUGUUAAGUUCUCGUAUGACUUUAUCUUUUGGUAAUUCAAAUUCAUAAGAGCUUGGGAUCAGAUGCCUAGCCUUGGUAGUUUUUGUAAUCUAUUCUCACUGGAAAAAUUUAGAGAGGAGUUAUAUUUUCUCCAGAAACAUCUGAAUGUUGCAUGCAUCAUUUUGCCUUCUUGAUAUGGAAAGCAUGUUGUUGAGUGCUUCUUGAACCAAUCCUUGAGUGGUUUCUGUUGAGAUAAGUUGUUGAUACUUGUACACUUGUGAUCCUUGCUUGACGUAUGCUUUCAUGGUUACACUCCACCUCGAGGUUCCAAAGCCGAACAAUAAGAUUCGUUCCUAGAUUGAGAUAAUGGAUUGAAGGCUGCCAAAAAGAUAUAGAUUCCCUAGCUUUAGAUGAUCUAGUAGCCCAAAGAAAUCCCAUGUCAAGCUACCAAUAUCCCUGUCAGAUAUAAUGUGUACUGUUAUGAUGUUUGCCUUACUUCCCAAAUUUUGAACAUGAUUGAUAGGAAAAAAUUUGUUAUGAAAAUUGAUGUAGCUCAUUUAGUUCAAUGUUGAGCUUUCGGGUUGUCUUUUUUCUUUCUUUAAAAGCAUGCCAAUGGCAAGAAUACUAAGUUUCUUGCUUCAUAAAAGCUCCAAUAACUCAAAGAUAAUUUGGUGCAAGCAUAGGAAACUGUCCAAACCAUUCUUGUCCACCCACUUCCUCCCUAUUGGGCAGUUUGCAGCAAGACUUUACUGGUAAGAUCGCAUCUAGGGCAGAACCAGCUGUGGCAAAGAUUUGAGAGAUUUCAAUUGACGUCUUCCAUUGGUCUUGAUGUUAAUGACCAUCUUCUCUAGUAGGAGUGCGUCUCUUGGUAAAAGCAGCAUUGGCAUGGUGAGCUUACAUCCGUCACCAUUGAAGGAACAAGCUAUAAACCAAUGAUCUCCAUGCUCUUCAGAUGCCGAGCCAAACACAUGAAGUUUUGCUUUGGGCAGAAUUCCUCUGCAUUGCAGAUAUGAAGAAUGGCCAGAUCAAAUAUGGCCUGCACAUUUAUUGGUAACAAGACUUAGUGAUCCAUCCAAAAGUGUCAUGAGGAUAAAAAUAGACAUGAAUGACAUUGGCCACUUGACUA